rnacentral:rRNA from 1 species
AGAGCGAACGCUGGCGGCAGGCCUAACACAUGCAAGUCGAACGGACCCUUCGGGGUUAGUGGCGGACGGGUGAGUAACACGUGGGAACGUGCCUUUUGGUUCGGAAUAGCUCCUGGAAACGGGUGGUAAUGCCGAAUGUGCCCUUCGGGGGAAAGAUUUAUCGCCAUUAGAGCGGCCCGCGUCUGAUUAGCUAGUUGGUGAGGUAAUGGCUCACCAAGGCGACGAUCAGUAGCUGGUCUGAGAGGAUGACCAGCCACAUUGGGACUGAGACACGGCCCAAACUCCUACGGGAGGCAGCAGUGGGGAAUCUUGCGCAAUGGGCGAAAGCCUGACGCAGCCAUGCCGCGUGAAUGAUGAAGGUCUUAGGAUUGUAAAAUUCUUUCACCGGGGACGACAAUGACGUACCGGAGAAGAAGCCCGCUAACUCGUGCCAGCAGCCGC